rnacentral:misc_RNA from 1 species
UAUAUAUAUAAUUUAGACAAUUUAAACUAUAGCGCCUUGUUUUAAAAAGGUCUCGCCUCUCGCCUCUUGCCUUGAUAACAUUGGUUUCCUCAUAGUUUUCAAUCUUAGGAAUCCUCUCAGCUUUAUAUGGUAGUCUUACCUGCUUUUUUAUCAUUUUUAUUUUCUUUACUUCUUCCCUUUUCAGUGAUAAAGGGUAGAGGUGUUUUUUUUAUCAGAAAUAAG